GGGUUGUGAGCUUAAGCGACUAAGCUUACCCGGUGGAUGCCCUGGCAGUCAGAGGCGAUGAAGGACGUGCUAAUCUGCGAAAAGCGUCGGUAAGGUGAUAUGAACCGUUCUAGCCGGCGAUGUCCGAUUGGGGAAACCCAGUGCAAUUCGUUGCCCUAUCGUUAACUGAAUACAUAGGUAAACGAGUCGAACCGGGGGAACUGAAACAUCUAAUAACCCCGAGGAAAAUAAAUCAACCGAGUUUCCCCCGGUAGCGGCGAGCGACCGGGGAGCAGCCCAGAGUCUGAUGCACCUUUAGUGUUAGUGGAACGGUCGGGAAAGUCCGUGGGUACA
rnacentral:rRNA from 1 species